AUCCGGAGGGGGUUAGCGUUGUUCGGAAUUACUGGGCGUAAAGCGCACGUAGGCGGAUUGGAAAGUUGGGGGUGAAAUCCCAGGGCUCAACCCUGGAACUGCCUCCAAAACUAACAGUCUAGAGUUCGAGAGAGGUGAGUGGAAUUCCAAGUGUAGAGGUGAAAUUCGUAGAUAUUUGGAGGAACACCAGUGGCGAAGGCGGCUCACUGGCUCGAUACUGACGCUGAGGUGCGAAAGCGUGGGGAGCAAACAGGAUUAGAAACCCCAGUAGUCC
rnacentral:rRNA from 1 species